rnacentral:rRNA from 1 species
UUCCAGACUCCUACGGGAGGCAGCAGUGGGGGAUAUUGCACAAUGGGGGGAACCCUGAUGCAGCGACGCCGCGUGGGUGAAGGAGCGUUUCGGCGCGUAAAGCCCUAUCGGCAGGGAAGAAGGAGGACGGUACCUGACUAAGAAGCCACGACUAACUACGUGCCAGCAGCCGCGGUAAUACGUAGGUGGCGAGCGUUGUCCGGAUUUACUGGGCGUAAAGGGAGCGUAGGCGGACUUUUAAGUGAGAUGUGAAAUACUCGGGCUCAACUUGAGUGCUGCAUUUCAAACUGGAAGUCUAGAGUGCAGGAGAGGAGAAUGGAAUUCCUAGUGUAGCGGUGAAAUGCGUAGAGAUUAGGAAGAACACCAGUGGCGAAGGCGAUUCUCUGGACUGUAACUGACGCUGAGGCUCGAAAGCGUGGGGAGCAAACAGGAUUAGAUACCCCCGUAAC